UAUUAAUCAGUUUCUCAUUUUCAUUGGCUUCGAUACAUGAAAACUGUUGCAUCUUUUAAUGUACCAGUAACAGUAUAUCGAUGUCUCAGGAAAUGUCAACUGAAUAAUGUACCAAUCUGACCGCCGCGUUGCAUAUACAGUAGUAGGGAGCUCAAGAUAACCAAAUCUACGAUGCGGACUUGACAAGAAAGUAUAUACCGCUAUUACUGUAUCCCAGUUUCACGUCAUGGGUGUAAACUAUGGAUUAUUGUUGCUAAACAAAGCCAGGGAAACGAGAAAAUCAAAGUAAACUAUAGCUUCC